rnacentral:rRNA from 1 species
CAGUAGCCGCGGGAAUACAGAGGGUGCGAGCGUUAAUCGGAUUUACUGGGCGUAAAGCGUGCGUAGGCGGCUUCUUAAGUCGGAUGUGAAAUCCCUGAGCUUAACUUAGGAAUUGCAUUCGAUACUGGGAAGCUAGAGUAUGAGAGAGGAUGGUAGAAUUCCAGGUGUAGCGGUGAAAUGCGUAGAGAUCUGGAGGAAUACCGAUGGCGAAGGCAGCCAUCUGGCCUAAUACUGACGCUGAGGUACGAAAGCAUGGGGAGCAAACAGGAUUAGAUACCCGUGUAGUCCCUGUCUCUUAUAC